UGGGGAAUAUUGCGCAAUGGAGGAAACUCUGACGCAGCGACGCCGCGUGAGUGAAGAAGUCUUUCGGGAUGUAAAGCUCUGUCAAGAGGAACGAUAAUGACGGUACCUCGAGAGGAAGCCCCGGCUAACUACGUGCCAGCAGCCGCGGUAAUACGUAGGGGGCGAGCGUUAUCCGGAUUUACUGGGCAUAAAGGGCGCGUAGGUGGUACUUUAAGUCAGAUGUUAAAUCCCCCGGCUUAACCGGGGUUCGCAUUUGAUACUGAAGUACUAGAGGACAGGAGAGGGAAGCGGAACUCAUGGUGUAGCGGUGAAAUGCGUAGAUAUCAUGGGGAACACCAGUUGCGAAGGCGGCUUCCUGGACUGUUUCUGACACUGAGGCGCGAAAGCGUGGGGAGCAAACAGGAUUAGAUACCCCCGUAGUCC
rnacentral:rRNA from 1 species